GCCUGGUUGGCUCAGUAGGUUAAGUGUCCGACUUUGGCUCGGGUCAUGAAAUCAUGGUUCGUGGGUUUGAGCCCCGCAUUGGGCU
rnacentral:tRNA from 1 species